UACGUAGGGUCCAAGCGUUAAUCGGAAUUACUGGCGUAAAGCGUGCGCAGGCGGUUUUAUAAGCCAGAUGUGAAAUCCCCGGGCUUAACCUGGGAAUGGCAUUUGGGACUGUAAGGCUAGAGUACGGCAGAGGAGACUAGAAUUCCUGGUGUAGCAGUGAAAUGCGUAGAUAUCAGGAGGAAUACCGAUGGCGAAGGCAGGUCUCUGGGUCGAUACUGACGCUCAUGCACGAAAGCGUGGGGAGCAAACAGG
rnacentral:rRNA from 1 species